GAGUGGAGAAAGUGCGGAAAGAAGCAACAGCCGCUCCACCCGCGGGCGGAAAGUGGCCGGGCGCGGCGGCGGGAUGCGGCGCAGAUAACGGUCCCCGGGGCCGCCCGAGCCGCUAGGCGCAGAGGCAGCUCACAAGUGUAGGGCUGGAGCUACAGGAAUCGUCCAGAUGCACUGGCUUUGCCUCUGCCUCUUUCUGUGUCUCAUUCUGUUUCCAGCUCUGCAUGGACGUGGAUGGCCCAGAAAGGUACAUAUGAAGAGGCACAACCUCAGCAUUACCUGGUGAUGCUUAGAGGAGAGAAAGCUUUCUCAGACCCAACUGUGGUUAAAGAUUUUAUUAGAUAUUUCCUACAAGUGCAGUUUAUAUAAUUAUAAUAUUAAUUUGAGCAUAUUCAUAAAGGUUACAUGUAGCUUUAGUUUGACACUUCCCCUGUUUACCUACCCAGUUUUUCUUUAUGUCUACGCGACCUGUAUAUUCGUUUUUCUUACUGCAUUGUAACAUUCCUCAAUUAAUAAUUGGACUGUGAAAUACUAAACUAGUCACUUGUUGAAUGUUUAAAUUACUUGUAAUAUCUUAUUAUAUAAAGAAUUAAAAACUGUCACCAUUUUGUUUUGAUUUUUAUAUCAUUUUAUGGAAAAAUAUCCUCAAACAUGUAAUGACUGAAUAAAUGGAAAUGGCAUGGUUGUCCCCCCAUACACACGCACAGACACCUAUACACAUGGUUGUCUCCCCCAUAUAGACAUGCACACACACCUGCACACUAAUCUUUUGUCAUUGUCUGUUUACUAGGUAACAAGCUGUCCUAGAACUUGAUAUGUAGAGCAGGCUGGCCUGAAACUCUCAGAGCUCUGCCUCUGCCAUCAGAAUGCUGAGAUUAGAGGCAUACAAAGCCAUGCCUAGCUUAAAGGGGAAAGUCAGCCAUGCAUGCUGCGAACGAAACUCUUCUUUUAAUUGUAAGCCUACCCUUUAACAGUGUCCCCAAGCCUUAGAAGAGCGUGGUGUAAAUGUCCUGUUUAGGGCUAAGCACUCAGCCUUGACUUAAUAUCAACACCUCAAACCCUGAUGAGUGUUCGCGUCCACCGGUGCUCACUGCCAGAAGCGUCUCUGGUCAAGACUGAGAACAGGAUCUGUCCAUGGGUAUAAAUACGGCUAUUUAGAAGCAGUUUCUUCUUCUGCCCACUUAGCAAAGUUAUCCCUUUAGGGCCUAUGGGCCACUCUGGCCAUAGAGUUCUGACCAGAUGUGCAGGACAAUGCAUUCUCUCUGUGUUGUGGGCCUCAACAGCCAUGCAGCUAAUCCAGCAUGCCUGCCAUGUUGGUGUUGUGCCUUGAAGCCUUCACAGUUGCACAGGCUGUCAAUGGCCUUCCUUCCGUGUAGGUGUAGCUUCCAGUGUGCCUUUCCAGCACAGUGUGUGCUCACCGGUAGUAGUCCCAGCUUGAUUCUGUAAUAUCACUAUUGUCUUGUAAAUGAUCUGCCUAGACCAUGGCCACAUUGUUUGCCCUUACUAGUUUAUUGUCAAAUUGACACAAGUCAGAAUUAUUGGGGAAGAGGGACUCUCAAUUGAGAAAAUGCUUCCAUAAUAUUUGGCUAUAGAGAGGUCUGUAGGCAUUUUUUUUAAUUAGUAAUUGAUGUGGGAGAGCCCACUAUGAGUGGUGCCACUCCUGGGCAAGCAGCAGUCCUAGGAUGUCUAAGAAAGCAGGCCGAGCAAGCCAGGAAGCAGCAAUCCUCCCAGGUCUUUGCAUCUCUGUUCCUGCCCUGAGUUCCUGCCCUGGCUUCCCUCAGUGACGGACUUACAAGCUGUAAGGGGAAACAAACCCUUCCCCAACAUAUAACCUUUAGUUAUAGUAUUUUUAUCAUAACAGCAAUAAAAAAACCCAGGUAAGAUAGUUGUAUAUUAACUUAAAUGCAGUUGAACUUAACCAUAUUUUUUCUUCUAGGAUACUUUAUAUGGUAUUCUUAUAAACAAUAAAAAUGCCCACAAAAAGCCUUCUUUUAGUUUUACAUUUGAUGUUCUGCAUAGUUACUCUGUGGGUUUGGAUGACUGUUUCAUUGUCAAGAACCUUAUGUUACUCAAACAUGAAGCCAUUCCUGGGUAAGCAUGUGUUUAUCUAUUGCAGUCUAAAAUGUAUAUUAUUUAAAUGUAAAAAUUUGUAUAUUUUAGUCACUUCUUUUAUAUUGAGUUAGUUUUUAUUAAAUAUCUUUUUCCUUUAGUAGCUUAGUUUACCAAUAAAUACCUAUGUUGGUUUUUGACAUAUAAUAUGGAAGUUUUCUGGCAAGUAUUUUCAUUAACAAACUAGAAACAAUUUUAGUAAAAGCCAAAAAGUAAUGUUUGAACAUAUAAAAUGUCAAAUGUUUAGCAUAAACUUUAUAAAUAGCAAAAUACUUAAUAGAAGAAAUUACUCAGUGUCACUAAAAAUGAUUAAAAACAUUGAGUAUAUGAGAAAAGUAUUCUUUGAGCUAAUGAAGUGAAUUUAUUAUACAUCUUCCCUUUUUAUUUUUCUAUGGAAAACAUACUAAAAUUUUUUAAGUACACAUAGCUUUGAAUUGUGUUAGUUUUUUGUUUGGUUGGUUUUUUGUCUGUUUGCUUUGUACUGCCUAGUUUAUUACAAUUUUGUGUUCCAUUGAACUCACUUUCUCCAAACUUUGGGUAUGGUAUCAGUCUAAAUCAAAGUCUAGGCCCACUUUUGGCUUACAGUGUGCUCUGGUUCUACAUGUUCCUUCCAUUGCCAGGGAACUGCCUGGAGAUCACACAGCUGACACCCACUCAGGGCAGAAUGUGACCACCACUAACUAAAGAAGUGUCCCUGGAUUUCACUUGCUCUCUCACCCCUCACUUGUCAGACCUUGGAACCCGCAGAUCAGUGAUGCGCAGCAAGCGAUAUCCCAAUGCCAUCUCACCCCUCCCUUGUCAGACCUUGGACCCCACUGAUCAGUGAUGCACAGCAAACGAUAUCCCAAUGCCAGAAGGAUCAGAAGUAGGAAGACACUUGGCUUUCCCAGCUUUCAGGCCACUUGAUAGCUGCCACAGUUCAUUACCCAGGAAAAUUGCUUGAACUCUAGGAAAAUGGGUACUAGAGGUGAGGGAAAAUUAGUUCACCACCAACACAGUUCACCUGGCAACUCAGUCAUCUGGAUCUAACUGGAGAAUGAUUGCAGCCAUGUUCUCCAUGAGGCUGAAAGCUGCUUCCUGCUGGAAGGUAGGAUCCCGUCCGUCUGGGUAUAGGCUGUAGGAGGUGGAGGGAAGCAGAGAGGGACCCUCUCUCCCCAUGACUCUCCCACUGCUCUUCAUUUCUGUGGCACGAGAUCCUGUCUUUAAUUCUGUUGCAUUUAGGAAACUUACAGUCAUACCCAGAAGGAGAUGCCAGAGCACAAACAGUGGAUAAAUACUGAGAUAGAGGUGGGGGCAGCAAUGCUUUAUUGAGUAAUUGGUUCUGUGUUUGUUUCCAUACAUGUUCUCAUGCUAUACCAAGAGGCCUGGGCUAUAGCUUAGUGGUGGGGCACUUCCUUAGCAUGAUAAGGCCCUGGGUGGAAUGGCACAGCAUUGCCACAGUUUUGCAUGAGCACUUUACUGCCCUCUGUCUAGUUGGACAGUUUAGACACAGUGCGCACCCUGCUACGAUGACUUCCUUGCUUCCCUGCCCCUUGAACUCUGCUCAUCUCACCAUUAUUCUGGUCUCUCAUCACUCACCCAAGUUUUCAACACUGUCUAUUGUUUGAUACCUGGCUCGCAGCAUGCAUUAUAAAUACUAUAUGGAUAAUCCCUCCUGUUAUAAUUGUGACUGUAUCUGCCUAUGAUUUUUAAACAGAUACACCAUAGCUGCCUCACUACGGUGGGUAUAGGAAGAGAGGCCCAACUGAAGAGCAAUGUAGAAGGUAACCCAACAUCACAUACAAGGAAGUGCCGAAGCAUCAAAGGGUCCUUUCCAGAUGAGCUGCCAGUCACACAUAGAUUCGCAUUACACACUAGCAGCAAGCACAUUGUACACAUAUGAUACAUCCCAGACUUCUGUGAGCUAAGGAAAGAGUGGUUUUACUUUUAUGGACAAAAUAAGCAUCUUUAACUUGGCAGAUGAAGCAAUAACAAAAAUGGCAGCUCACCAUUGAUAGUGUACUAUCCAAAAUAACUCAAUUCUCCAUUAGAAUGUAGUAGCCUGGAAUAGAAAGAGAUCUCUGUAAUUUAUAAAUGUUAGUACUCAUGACAGAAUAUCUGUGGAAUUGUAGAGACACAAAGUAUAACAAACAGGUGUUUCAGACUAGAUGCUUCUAACAAGAGAACUGAAAGUGGGAGAGAAGCCAAUAUUACUGGCAACAAAGUCUGAAAACAUAAUCAAAAGAUUCUCCUGAACUGUGAGAAAUGCUGCUAUCCAGGGAUAGAGGCUCAGACCUGGAAUCCAAACACCUACAGAGACUGGGGCAGGAGGAAAUCAGACAUUCUAUCUGCAGGAGUAUGAAAUUAGAUCUUCAUCUUAAAUAAAAAUAAAUCAAAAUGGAAGAAAGACCCCCCUCCCUCCACCUGACCCAGAAAUAUAAAACCACCAGGAAGACAAAUAGAGGAAGCACUCCCGGACACAGGUCAGGAAAUGGGUGUUUUCAUGAGACCCCCAAACACAGGAAUCAAAAACAAAAAUAAGUAAAUGAGGCCACACCAAACCAAGAUACCUCCAUCCAGUAGAGAGAGUGGUCUUUGGUGUGAAGAGAUAGCCUGAGGACCAGAGGGUAUAUUUGAAAGAUAUGGACUGCUCCAAGUCCACAUGGAGCAACUCGGUAGCAGGAUGGCAUGGAGCCUCAUUACCACAGACGAUGGCCCAAACAUCUAUAUCUCCAAAGGAGUUACAGAUGGCCAAUGAGUCUGUGAAAGUGUUCAACACCACCAACCACAGGGAAAACACAAAUCAAAGCUACCCUGGGUUGUUGCCUUGCUCCUGUUAGGAUGGCGGUAUCAAAAGAUGAAGGAUACCAAGUAGUGAAGCUUUUUAGGAGAGGGAGCCCUGGCACACACUGGUGGCCAUUCUGUAAAGCAGUAACAAAAGCUGCUGAAAAAAAAUCAAAUAUAGAAGUACCACUGCUCUGGAUAUAUUUCAAGGAAAUGGAUAGUAUGCUGUCAUGGUAAACUUAUUUCAGUGUUAUUCACAAUAGCCACGGAAUACAAGCAGUCUAAAUGUCCAUAGGCUGACGAAUGGAUAAAGGGAGUUUACUACAUAGACCCACUGGAAUACUAUGCAGCCUCCAAGAAAGAGUCUUCUGCCAUUUACAGUAGGAUGGAGCUGAAACACAUUAUGUUAAAUGAAGUCAACCAAGAACAGAAAGAGAAACAUCGUGUGUUCUCACUGAUACUGGGAUCCAAAAACACCAUACUUGAAGAGAAGACUCCAAGAACAGAAUGGUGGUUUCCAGGAACUGGAGUGUAGGGUGGGAAGAGGCUGGCCAAAAGUACAGCAUUAAGUUAGGGAGAGCAAGGAGAGGAGCUGGGUUGUGUGCCAUGGUGACUAUAGUUCAUAGUGAUGCAUGUAUACUUGAUAUCUGUGGAGGAUAAUAAGCAUACAAGAUAGCACAUUAACUGGCUUGAUUAGCCAGUUCACAGUGUGUGCCUAAAUCAAAACAGCAUGCUGUCAUUCCAAUUUAAACAAAGUACAGAAAUCACUAACCAAUAAAGAUACAACUGAAGACAUUAUAGUGGAUUCCACCACUUACAGGACUCCAUGCACAGAAACCAUUGUUCCUUCCAUGGAAGGAGAGGGAGGGUGCCAUUGCAGAAAAUCUACAUUGUUCCCAGGAAACAGAAUAAAGCUGUGUACCUAAGUAGGAUACAAAUCAAGCCAUCUAGUAAGCCAAUGAUGUUAAAAUACUAUUCAGCUGAAUCUGAGGGAGAAAUUUGAUCUGCAAAGAAAGCUUUCAUUUAUUUCACUGGCAAAUGCUUCUUGCUCUGUUCCCAUAAGCCUGGUCAAGGGACACGACAGAUAAAAGUCCCUGCCCAGCAGAAUUUACAUAUGGAAUACAGAGACAAAUGACAAGCAGUAAAUGGGUAAAUGAACAAUGCUAGAAGAUUAGAUGCCACAGAAAAGAGACACGAAGUGAUGGGGCCUUGGGAUCUGCGCUCCCCUCCCCCUUAUAAAUCACAGCCAUUGAAAGCCCGGAGCCCCAGGAAACCUUUCUCAGGAAGGUGCAGGCAUGUGGAGGAGGAUGCUAGAGAACCAGGUGUGAAAGCUGCCCAGUGAACUGACUGGUGCUUCGGCCUUCAGUAGGUUCUGUUGGGGUCAAUGCAAGGCUUCACAGAAGAAAAAGUGUAGGAUAAACAUAAAUUAGUCUGUGUUUAGAGAAACGCAAGUUUUCCUGAAUUCUGUAAUAAACAAACCCUAUGAUGUUGUCCACUGAUUGAAUUCUUAACACCUGUUCACUUUUACUCACUUUAGCUCUGUUUUCCAUGUUGGCAAAUACUAAUUCACUGCUGUUUUUGAAAAUGAAAUAAUUGAACAUAUGUGCAACUUUAGUUCUGAAACGUUUACAUUUUCCCCCAUCAGAUUUAAUGAAAAUAUAAUUGUCUGUGUUUGUAUGCUUAAGGAAAUGGGGAUAAUUUAUUUAACUACCAUGGAUGAAUAUGUAUGUGUGUCUAUUUUGGCAGAGAAAGAACACGAAGGAGAAGGCUAGAGACCUGCGGUUCCACUGAACUCUUGUUUGGCCCUUAAUUGCAUCCAGCUAUGUUGGUGCUGUAAUAGCCCGGCCUGGAAUCAUUGUUAAUAACAUUUGUUCAUAACGGUGUGAUAACUUCUGCCUCCUUAAAGGGCUUUAGAAUUAAGAAGCUAACCUAUUGUUAUAAAAGUGCAAUAGAAACAGU